GUGGGGAAUCUUCCGCAAUGGACGAAAGUCUGACGGAGCAACGCCGCGUGAGUGAAGAAGGUUUUCGGAUCGUAAAGCUCUUUCGUUAGGGACGAACGUGCUCUUUGUGAAUAAUGAGGAGUAAUGACGGUACCUAAAUAAGAAGCCACGGCUAACUACGUGCCAGCAGCCGCGGUAAUACGUAGGUGGCAAGCGUUGUCCGGAAUUAUUGGGCGUAAAGCGCGCGCAGGCGGGAUAUCAAGUCUGUCUUAAAAGUGCGAGGCUCAACCUCGUGAGGGGACAGAAACUGGGAGUCUUGGGGGUCGGAGAGGAAAGUGGAAUUCCAAGUGUAGCGGUGAAAUGCGUAGAGAUUUGGAAGAACACCAGUGGCGAAGGCGACUUUCUGGACGAUGUCUGACGCUGAGGCGCGAAAGCUAGGGGAGCAAACAGGAUUAGAAACCCGAGUAGUCC
rnacentral:rRNA from 1 species